rnacentral:rRNA from 1 species
AGUGAACGCUGGCGGUAGGCCUAACACAUGCAAGUCGAACGGCAGCACAGUAAGAGCUUGCUCUUACGGGUGGCGAGUGGCGGACGGGUGAGGAAUACAUCGGAAUCUACUUUUUCGUGGGGGAUAACGUAGGGAAACUUACUCUAAUACCGCAUACGACCUACGGGUGAAAGCAGGGGAUCUUCUGACCUUGCGCGAUUGAAUGAGCCGAUGUCGGAUUAGCUAGUUGGCGGGGUAAAGGCCCACCAAGGCGACGAUCCGUAGCUGGUCUGAGAGGAGGGUCAGCCACACUGGAACUGAGACACGGUCCAGACGCCUACGGGAGGCAGCAGUGGGGAAUAUGGGACAAUGGGCGCAAGCCUGAUCCAGCCAUACCGCGUGGGUGAAGAAGGCCUUCGGGUUGUAAAGCCCUUUUGUUGGGAAAGAAAAGCAGCAGGUUAAUACCCCGCUGUUCUGACGGUACCCAAAGAAUAAGCACCGGCUAACUUCGUG